CCCUUCGCCCUACUCUGUCACCUCGCUGGAAGGAGUGGAACCCAGACUUGCUGGUCUGAUCCAUGCACAAGGCGCGGCUACGAGGCCACUGUGCCCGGGCAGGGAAGUCGGUGCGGUUGGCCAGCUCCGGGAUGACCCGCCGGGACCCGCUCACAAAUAAGGUGGCCCUGGUAACGGCCUCCACCGACUGGUGAGUGUUGGUGCCGGAGUUUCUGAGGCCCUGGCUGCCUGGAAACAGGCACUGGUGUCUCGUCCUUUGCCUCCAGUGCCCCUGUCCUCAGACCUCACAUACCGCCAAAGUCUGGCCAUGGAAAAGAAGUAGCCACGUGGUCCGCCCGAAGCCCCUCCGAAUCCCCUGGCCCUGGACCCUCCCUUGCCUGCCUUCGUGUCCCUGCUGCCUCUGGCACAACUGUGCCUCCUCUGUGAAGUCCCAUCGAUCUAGUCCCCCCAGUGUUCUGGGCUGCCCCCGUCAACCAGCACCACCUAGCGUCCGGGAAGACCAGAAACUAGAAAUCCAAGGGAAUCUGGAUUUCAAAAUCAUAUCCCAAGGCCUCCAGCACUUUGAAAAUGUACCAGACAUUCUAUUUGGGCACCGGAAAGUCUCCCGGAACCCCUCCCCCUUACCUAGAUGGGACACCAGAGCCAAGUGUCGAGAUUUUUGUUUAGGUCGGUACAUCUGGGCCGACCUUCGCCAGCCUGUUUCUCACCCACCUCUCUUCUCAGUCCUGGUUCUCAUUUCUACAGGACUUUGCUAGAUGCCAACUCUUCACAAAACUAAAAUACAAAUGUAGGUAAAAUGCUAAUGGCUGACAAGUGCAAAAUGUGUAACUCUUCCUCCCAAGGCAAUAUUUACAUUUUUGACCGGAGACCAUCUUUUCACAUGCACCCCAAAAAAUAAUUAAGGAUAGAAUUUUCAGAAUGAUGUAGACUAGUAAGAAAGAAACCUGGAGGCAGGGCUGUUCUGAGUGAGACCCUCAAAUCACGGAAGUGGCUGCUGCUGCAAACCCAGCUCAUUUCUCACCUCUCAGUCCCAAGAGGGGAUGAAGCCUGUCACCCAUGGUGGGAACUGUAGAAAGUGAUGUCAGUUCUUGGGAACUGAGGCUGCAGUCCAAGAUGAUAAUAAAAAUAAGUAAAGGAACGCCAAAAA
rnacentral:lncRNA from 1 species